GUUUGGGUCUGGGAGAGUCCACUCUGGCCCUCAGCCAUUUCCUCCUUUGUGAGGAAGGGUUUGUUUUAAGAUCAGUAUUCUUGCAGACUUGCCCUGGGGCUCCAGAGGUCCUUCUGGUUCUGCUAUGUGGGAUACCAUCUCAGCAUGGCUUGAUGAGUGGUGCUAGGUCCAUGCCCAGGAUGUGAACCACUGAAAACCUGGGCUGCUGAAGCAGAGUGCAUGAACUUAACUACUUGGCCAUGGGGCUGGGCCCUGAUCAAUAUUGCAGAGGUUUGUGUGGACACAAAGCAAAGGAUUCUGUAGCUGAUGCAGAGGUUUCCCCUGCACGCCAGACUGACUCAGACCAAGAGCUAACUUCUGUCUCCUGCAGUGCACACCCAAGGGCUGUUGGUCCUACCCAGUCCUGGUAGAUUGACCACAUUGGGUCUUUCAUCCCCUCACCUCAGUGCUGUUGGCACUUUUUCAGAUUACCAGGUUGCUGUUCUAGUCCAAUAAGCUGACCCUGGGCAUACCACUGUGGCCUUUAAGAGCUCAGAGAAGUGCCUGGCUGUUGUGCAUUCUCCUGACAGAUCAGUUGUCG
rnacentral:lncRNA from 1 species